rnacentral:miRNA from 1 species
CCUGGAACUCACUGUGUAGCCCAGGCUGGUGCGGAACUCACAGCGAUCCUCCUGCCUCAGCCUCCUGAGUGCUGGAAU